AAAAAGAGGGUGGGGCUUCUGUCGUGAGCGACACACAGAGGGCAGUUCGUUUGCUCUACCUGUGGAAUCGACAUCGAGAGAUUUCGGAAGCAUAAUUUUUGUUGAUUGGGCAGCUGGUAAUUGUUGGUCCCAGCACCCAC
ensembl:snRNA